rnacentral:rRNA from 1 species
UUUAGAUCCUGGCUCAGGAUGAACGCUAGCGGAGGCCUAACACAUGCAAGCCGAGCGGUAUUUGUCUUUCGGGACAGAGAGAGCGGCGUACGGGUGCGGAACACGUGUGCAACCUGCCUUUAUCAGGGGGAUAGCCUUUCGAAAGGAAGAUUAAUACCCCAUUAAUAUAUCUGAUGGCAUCAUUAGAUAUUGAAAACUCCGGUGGAUAGAGAUGGGCACGCGCAAGAUUAGAUAGUUGGUGAGGUAACGGCUCACCAAGUCAGUGAUCUUUAGGGGGCCUGAGAGGGUGAUCCCCCACACUGGUACUGAGACACGGACCAGACUCCUACGGGAGGCAGCAGUGAGGAAUAUUGGACAAUGGGUGCGAGCCUGAUCCAGCCAUCCCGCGUGAAGGACGACGGUUCUAUGGAUUGUAAACUUCUUUUAUACUGGGAUAAACCUACUCUCGUGAGGGUAGCUGAAGGUACAGUAUGAAUAAGCACCGGCUAACUCCGUG